GAUCAUGGCUCAGGAUGAACGCUGGCGGCGUGCUUAACACAUGCAAGUCGAACGGGAAAUACUUCAUUGAGACUUCGGUGGAUUUGAUUUAUUUCUAGUGGCGGACGGGUGAGUAACGCGUGGGUAACCUGCCUUAUACAGGGGGAUAACAGUCAGAAAUGACUGCUAAUACCGCAUAAGCGCACAGAGCUGCAUGGCUCAGUGUGAAAAACUCCGGUGGUAUAAGGUGGACCCGCGUUGG
rnacentral:rRNA from 1 species